UAGGGAAUUUUCGGCAAUGGGCGCAAGCCUGACCGAGCAACGCCGCGUGAGGGAAGAAGGUCUUCGGAUCGUAAACCUUUGUCUUUGGGGAAGAUAAUGACGGUACCCAAGGAGGAAGCCACGGCUAACUACGUGCCAGCAGCCGCGGUAAUACGUAGGUGGCAAGCGUUGUCCGGAAUUACUGGGCGUAAAGGGCGUGUAGGCGGUCUUUUAAGUCAGGCGUGAAAACUGUGAGCUUAACUCGCAGACUGCGUUUGAGACUGAGAGACUUGAGGAUCGGAGAGGGCAGUGGAAUUCCCAGUGUAGCGGUGAAAUGCGUAGAUAUUGGGAAGAACACCAGUGGCGAAGGCGGCUGCCUGGACGACACCUGACGCUGAGGCGCGAAAGCCAGGGGAGCAAACG
rnacentral:rRNA from 1 species